rnacentral:rRNA from 1 species
GGUGAACGCUGGCGGUAGGCCUAACACGUGCAAGUCGAACGGCAGCACAGGAGAGCUUGCUCUCUGGGUGGUGAGUGGCGGACGGGUGAGGAAUACAUCGGAAUCUACUCUGUCGUGGGGGAUAACGUAGGGAAACUUACGCUAAUACCGCAUACGACCUACGGGUGAAAGCAGGGGACCUUCGGGCCUUGCGCGAUUGAAUGAGCCGAUGUCGGAUUAGCUAGUUGGCGGGGUAAAGGCCCACCAAGGCGACGAUCCGUAGCUGGUCUGAGAGGAUGAUCAGCCACACUGGAACUGAGACACGGUCCAGACUCCUACGGGAGGCAGCAGUGGGGAAUAUUGGACAAUGGGCGCAAGCCUGAUCCAGCCAUACCGCGUGGGUGAAGAAGGCCUUCGGGUUGUAAAGCCCUUUUGUUGGGAAAGAAAUCCAGCUGGCUAAUACCCGGUUGGGAUGACGGUACCCAAAGAAUAAGCACCGGCUAACUUCGUGCCAGCAGCCGCCGUAA